UACGGGGGGGGGGGCAAGCGUUGUUCGGAAUUACUGGGCGUAAAGGGCUCGUAGGUGGCCAACUAAGUCAGACGUGAAAUCCCCAGGCUCAACCUGGGAACUGCGUCUGAUACUGGAUGGCUUGAAUUCGGGAGAGGGAUGCAGAAUUCCAGGUGCAGCGGUGAAAUGCGUAGAUAUCUGGAGGAAUACCGGUGGCGAAGGCGGCAUCCUGGACCGAUAUUGACACUGAUGAGCGAAAGCCAGGGGAGCAAACGGG
rnacentral:rRNA from 1 species